UAGGGAAUCUUCCGCAAUGGACGCAAGUCUGACGGAGCAACGCCGCGUGAGUGAAGAAGGAUUUCGGUUCGUAAAACUCUGUUGUUAGAGAAGAACAGCGCAUAGAGUAACUGUUAUGCGUGUGACGGUAUCUAACCAGAAAGCCACGGCUAACUACGUGCCAGCAGCCGCGGUAAUACGUAGGUGGCAAGCGUUGUCCGGAUUUAUUGGGCGUAAAGCGAGCGCAGGCGGUCAAUUAAGUCUGAUGUGAAAGCCCCCGGCUCAACCGGGAAGGGUCAUUGGAAACUGGUUGACUUGAGUGCAGAAGAGGAGAGUGGAAUUCCAUGUGUAGCGGUGAAAUGCGUAGAUAUAUGGAGGAACACCGGUGGCGAAAGCGGCUCUCUGGUCUGUAACUGACGCUGAGGCUCGAAAGCGUGGGGAGCGAACAGG
rnacentral:rRNA from 1 species